rfam:Camelus ferus unplaced genomic scaffold scaffold86, whole genome shotgun sequence.
GAGGGUAUAGCUCAGUGGUAGAGCACAUGCCUAGCAUGCACAAGGUCCUGGGUUCAAUCCCCAGUACCUCCA